CAGAAAAUAGUUUAAUUAAAAUAAUAAUUUUGGAGAUUGUUGAUAAAUAGCUAGAUAUUUUUUUCUGA
rnacentral:tRNA from 1 species